CAGCUGCCUGACAGUACAGGAGCUCUUUAGAGAAAGGACUGUAGGAAGUGGUGAAAAACGACUAAAACAUGAAUAAUCUUGUGAGUGAACUGGAGGUAACCGAGAGAGGUGUUUAUAAUGAGGUUAUUUCGCUCCUGGCGCAUAUAGCUGACCAAGAUAAGAACAGAAUUGCCCUCAGGAUUGCCUCUAUAGCAAAGACCAAGCUGGUUAGUGUUGUGAGAGUUCUACUGGAGAAACUGCAACAGGAUGAGCAAAACAGAGUAGCCAUCUACUAUAUCCUGGAGGG